GGCAAUCUUCUGCUUUGGUUCUGAAGCUUGUACCUACUCACUAAUCCACAAAUCUCACUUGAGAACAGAUAUGAAAAGAAAGAUGCUUUACUUGUUUUCUGACAAAGCACAGAGAGUUAAAGCACAGAGAGGCAGGCUCACAGAAUCUGAGAAAACAGCAGAGAGAAUGAGUGACAUAGCAAGUGAAAUAUGAAAAUACGUUUUCACAAGGCAGUUAAAUAAGAUAAACAUGAGAUAACCUUGAUGACCAUGUUUUGUUUAGUCAUGGCAUCCUUUGACCAUGAGCCGUGCAGCUACACUUGUGGCUGGUGAAGACAAACGACUGCCCGAGUCUGCCAUUAUUUAUGCUACCAAGUUGUUCCCAAAAGCACGAGUGCCACUCCUAUGACUGACUGCUCCUGGCAGAUUGCUCAGGUUCCUGUGUAGCCUGAACAUGGUUCCCCAUUUGACUUGUUUCUUCAGACAAAGGUUUUACUACACUGAGGAUAAGUGAGGAUGUCAGCUCAAGAGAACAGAAUGAAUUGAAAACGAAACUGUGCUACAGGAAAAUCAAAGUGAGAUCCUCUAACUUCACCACCUAAAAGAACUUCGUAAAGAGACACUGGAACUUGGGAAGGAAAAUACAGCAGAGAUGGUGGUACCAGGAACUUGGCUAAGAAGACAGAAGCAACUUCUUGUAUUUAUGUACAGUGGUCUUUCCAACUGAUAGUUACAAAGGGAGAGGAAGUAAUUUAUUGUUUGUUUAUUUAUUUGUUUGUCUAAAAAAAAAAAAGUGAGGUUUUAU
ensembl:lncRNA